GAGGCCUGCGAGGAGUACUCAGAGUGCCGGAGCGGCGGCUGCGUCACCAACAGCCUGAGUCCCCAGAAGUUCUGCAGCCCCCAGGCCGUCUUCCAGCAGUGCCUGUCCUGGCAGAAGGUGUGCCCUGCCCGGGCCGGCGAGGGGCGAGAGGCCAGGGAGGGCGGACCCUGGGAAGGAGGGCUGGGGGCCUGGCAGAAGGGACCAGGUCUCCUUUUCCAGUAGCCGAACGGGCACACCUGCCUGGACCACACAGAGUGCUGGAGCGGCUGCUGCGUCACCAGCAGCUACGGGCUGCAGACGUACCGCACGGCCAAGACCAUCUUCCUGCAGUGCGUGCCGUGGUGCAAGGUGAGGCCAAGGGCCGCGGGGCCGGAGGGGGGCGCCUGCUGGCUCUGACCGCUGCCCCCAGCCCAACGGGGACUACUGCACGGACCACAGCCCCCAGCCCAACGGGGACUAUUGCACGGACCACGGCGAGUGCCGCAGCAAGUGCUGCGUCCAGCCGAACGAGGUCGACCCCCACCGCUGCGUCCCCCGGAGCGGCGUCCUGGUCCAGUGCCUGCCCUGGGUGAGUCCUGGAACCGGGUCCAGCCCGCCUGUGGGGCUAACUCCAGCGACUGGCCUGAGGGCGGGCGGGCGGGCGGGCAGUGACCUGGAAGUGGUGUGUCCCCUCCCAGGAGAGGCCGCCAACUGCCUCUGCAGAUCGGCCUCUGUUCCCGUUUCCUGAAGCAGAGCCCGGAUGAGGCGUCAGAAAAGGGCACGGGUCACGGGGGGUGGGUUCUCAGGUCCACCAGGGUCGCAGCAGGACACAGCGCUGGAUGCCCGGGGAAGGGCCAGCACAGCGGCGGGGGGCGGACCCACGGGACGGGGCAGCACCGGGACUCACUCCUGUGGGGCUGGACGAAGGGAAGGACUGUCUCGGGGGCCUCCCCCCCCAUCACCUUCCCCAGAAGAAGGAGCUCAGUGAGGCGGCCCCCCAGGACGCAGGACCUGAAGACACCACGGAGGACGGGGUAGGGGGGCCGCAGAGGGAGGUGGGGCACGGUGACCGGAGGGGCACGGCGAGCGGCUGGGAGACAACACUCUGGUGCCCGAGCUCAGACUCCGGGACCCGUGACUGCAGUCUGACGGAAAAGGUGUGUCGGGGCCCCGAGGGUGAGAGCCAGAGCUUCCUGAGCACGCCCACCUGGCCCGUCAGCACCCAGAGCGGCGGUGGGUGCAGAGGUGCCACGACAGUGAGUCCACGGGUGUCCCGAGGGUGUCGGAGACAACCAGGCCGCUCCGCCGGCAGCCUCGCCCAGAGGCGCGGAUCGUCGGUCCCGAGGACAGCGUGGCCCUUACAAUCCAGCUGCCCGAAGGCUGCGUCUCCCCGUGCGUUUCCUAAUUUUGCUGUGUCUUCUAGUGACUUGGACCCGGUCUGUGCCCUGGAGACCUGCCUGGACCCUGAGCCCUGCACGUGUUCAGGCUGCUCUUCCCGGGAUGGUGAAAACCUGCAGGUAUCAGACGUCUAGCUGUGAACUCCUGAGACCGCCCGCAUCCGGGUGGCCCCUACUGGAACCUCGAGGUGAUAACUUAGCAUCAGCAAACCUCCCGACUGAGUGAGUGUUUCUGUGGACGUGGAGACACCGGGUCUCAGCUCAGCACCGUCCUAAGGAGCCCCCUUCACCAGAGACCGAGUCUCCCCAGAGGAAAGGGCAGGUGCAGACACGUCCCUCCCCCGCAGGCGCACACAGAUGACUGGUCACUGCAGGUAAGUCAUCAGUUGGCCGUUCCAACUGGAAAGGCUCCCCUGACCUUGCGGAUGGCGCAGUGAGGACAUCGGAGCCCGCUAAAGACCCCUGGGGGGGGGGCUCCCACUGGUCCCACCUUCCCCUGGAGCAGAAGUGCUGGCUGAUCUAGAAACUGUUCCCUCUGGUGGCUUCUCGGGGCAAACACCAGAGCCGCUCCUCUGCACCCAGAGUGCCAGAAAUGUCACUGUCACCUUCCUCUGUGCCCAGCACCCACCCCGCAGACACCAGGCUGCUUUUCUGGGCUCUGCUAGAACAAUUCUCCACCCUGUGCCUCCCCGCUUCUGCCUGCUCCUCCUGGGCUGGAGAUGACUAUGACAGUACUUGCAGAGUAAGUCAUGAGAAGCCGUCGCUCCCACCCUAAUAGUGAGAACAAGCCAGACACAGUUAAGAGAAUGAAAAGACAAGCCACAGACGAGAAGAAAUGACACAUCUGACAAAGGACUCGGAUCCAGACUAUACAAAAAACUCUCAAAAGUUAAGUGAAAACAACUCAAUUAAGGGACAUUCCUGGUGGCGCAGUGGCUAAGAAUCCGCCUGCUAAUUCAGGGGACACAGGUUCAAGCCCUGGUCCGGGAAGAUCCCACGUGCCACGGAGCAACUAGGCCCGUGAGCCACAACUACUGAGCCUGCGCUCUAGAGCCCACGUGCCACAACUACUGAGCCUGUGUGCCUAGAGCCUGUGCUCCGCAACAAGAGAAGCCCCCGCUCGCUGCAACUAGAGAAAGCCUGCAGGCAGCAAUGAAGACCCAACGCAGCCAAAAAUAAAUAAAUUAAAAAAAAAACCCAAUUAAAAAACAAGACAAAAAAUUUGAACGGACAUUUCACCAAGACAAUAUACAGACAGCUCAGACGCACGAGAAAGCUGGUCCACCAUCGUUAGCCCCGAGGGAAACGCAGAGCAGGCUGACGUCCAGCCUGUGAUUAGACGGACCAAGGGCCGCCAGGCUGCAGAGCCUGGGGCACCCGCGGCGGACGGGACGUCGGCGGCCUCGCGAGCAGCGGGGGGCGGCCGCGCACACACUCACCAGGUGCGCCGAACACCUGUGUCGCACCCUGACCCACUCAAGCUCUUCAUUCUUGCUCCUGACGCUGCUGCGUGAGUGGACAAACGUGGUGCAUCCCCGGACGGGAGGUCCCGCCGCCCGAGGAGGAGCGGCCUCAGAGGCCACGCCCGCGAGGCCCCAUCCACGCGAUUCUCCAGAAGAGGCUGCAGGCUGGGGGCGGCACGACUGGCCGCAGCAGGGCUUCCGGGGGCGACGAGAGGCCAGGCCCCGGUUGUGAGGGGUGCGUCAGUCUGUGGCUUUCCUCACGGCUCACCCGACUUGGGGAGACUUUACUGUCGCUCGUGAGCCCCACGUGAAACGAAUCUGGUGGAGCCCUGGGGACGCUGGUGUGUUUGAGCUUGUGCGGCAGGGAAGCAGGACGGACGUGAGGAAACAGGCAGCCGCCACAAGCUGAGGACCCCCGCGGCUGGCCGCUUGGCAUGCAGGGCUCUCGGGGAGAUGGGCAAGGAGAGGACGCUUGGACCAGCCCUGGGGUCGGGGCCGCCCGUGGGUCGUGGGUCGAGGUUCACCGCAGGGCGCCCCCCUCCCCCCAGGGUCCUCUGGGCGGGCGAGUCUGCAGGAGGCCGGGCAGGCCUCGGGGCUCCGUCCAGCGUCCGCCAGGCCGCCCUCUCCCCCGCAGGCCACCACUCGUCCACCUUCUGUCUCUGCGGCUUUGCCUGCUCAGGACGCUCCGUGGAGACGGACUCACACGAUCCGGGGCCGCUGUGGCUUCCUUCACGGAUCACGAUGCUCUCAAGUCUCAUCCACGCUGUCAAGUGAGGCAGAACUUUGCUCCUUUUUGUGGCUGAGUAACAUUCCACCGCGUGGCUGCAACUACAUGCUGUCUACCAGCAUCCGUGGAGGGACACGCGGGUUCUUUCCAUUUCUGACUCUUCUGAGUAAAGUUGCUGUGCACAUUCCUAUACACGUCCUCUGUGGACACAGGUUUUUAAUUCUCUGGGCCUGUACCAGGAGUGGGACUCUGGCUCAUACAGUUACUCCACGUCUCACCUCUUAGGAAAUGCCAGAUUGCUCUCCACAGCACCCGCGCCCUGUCACACUCCCACAGGCGCUUUGCCCACACCCUGCACGACGCUGCUUAUGGUCUGUCUUCUUGGUCCUAUCCCAGUGGGCGGGAAGUGGAUCCCAGAGUGACUGCAGCUCGUUCUUUAAAAACAACAAAACAGGACUUCCCUGGUGGCGCAGUGCUUAAGAAUCCACCUGCAGGGGACACGGGUUCAAGCCCUGGUCCGGGAAGAUCCCAGAUGCCGCAGAGCAACUAAGCCCGUGCGCCACAACUACUGAGCCUGCGCUCUAGAGCCCACGAGCCACAACUACUGAAGCCCGCGCGGCUAGAGCCCGUGCUCCGCAACAAGACAAGCCACCGCAAUGAGAAGCCCGCGCACCGCAACGAAGAGUAGCCCCCGCUCACUGCAACUAGAGAAAGUCCACGUGCAGCAAUGAAGACCCAACGCAGCCAAUAAAUAAAUAAAUAACAACAACAACAAAACCGGGACUUCCCCUGGCGGGGGCACGGGCUCAAUCCCCGGUUGGGGAACUAAGAUCCCACAUGCCCGCCCGGCGCCGCUCCCAGCAAGGCCAAAAAUAAAUAAAUAAAAUAAACCCAGCAAAACCAGAA